rnacentral:rRNA from 1 species
AACGAACGCUGGCGGCAUGCCUAACACAUGCAAGUCGAACGAGACCUUCGGGUCUAGUGGCGCACGGGUGCGUAACGCGUGGGAACCUGCCCUUAGGUUCGGAAUAACUCCCCGAAAGGGGUGCUAAUACCGGAUAAUGUCUUCGGACCAAAGAUUUAUCGCCUUUGGAUGGGCCCGCGUUGGAUUAGCUAGUUGGUAGGGUAAAAGCCUACCAAGGCGACGAUCCAUAGCUGGUCUGAGAGGAUGAUCAGCCACACUGGGACUGAGACACGGCCCAGACUCCUACGGGAGGCAGCAGUGGGGAAUAUUGGACAAUGGGCGAGAGCCUGAUCCAGCAAUGCCGCGCGAGUGAUGAAGGCCUUAGGGUUGUAAAGCUCUUUUACCCGGGAUGAUAAUGACAGUACCGGGAGAAUAAGCUCCGGCUAACUCCGUG